rnacentral:rRNA from 1 species
UACAGAGGGGGCAAGCGUUGUUCGGAAUUACUGGGCGUAAAGGGCGCGUAGGCGGCCUUCUAAGUCGAACGUGAAAUCCCCGGGCUCAACCCGGGAACUGCGUCCGAUACUGGAAGGCUUGAAUCCGGGAGAGGGAUGUGGAAUUCCAGGUGUAGCGGUGAAAUGCGUAGAGAUGUGGAGGAACACCGAUGGCGAAGGCAGCCUCCUGGGCCAGCACUGACGCUCAUGCACGAAAGCGUGGGGAGCAAACAGG